CCUACGGGAGGCAGCAGUGGGGGAUAUUGCACAAUGGGGGAAACCCUGAUGCAGCGACGCCGCGUGGGUGAAGAAGCGCCUCGGCGCGUAAAGCCCUGUCAGCAGGGAAGAAAAUGACGGUACCUGAAGAAGAAGCCCCGGCUAACUACGUGCCAGCAGCCGCGGUAAUACGUAGGGGGCAAGCGUUCUCCGGAUUUACUGGGUGUAAAGGGGGCGCCGGCGGCGAUGCAAGCCAGGAGUGAAAGCCCGGGGCCCAACCCCGGGACUGCUCUUGGAACUGCGUGGCUAGAGUGCAGGAGGGGCAGGCGGAAUUCCUGGUGUAGCGGUGAAAUGCGUAGAUAUCAGGAGGAACACCGGUGGCGAAGGCGGCCUGCUGGACUGCAACUGACGUUGAGGCCCGAAAGCGUGGGGAGCAAACAGGAUUAGAUACCCUUGUAGUC
rnacentral:rRNA from 1 species